rnacentral:rRNA from 1 species
UACGUAGGGAGCGAGCGUUGUCCGGAAUUACUGGGCGUAAAGGGUGCGUAGGUGGCCUAGCAAGUCAGAUGUGAAAUCCCCGGGCUUAACUCGGGGGGUGCAUUUGAAACUGCCUGGCUUGAGUGCAGGAGAGGAAAGCGGAAUUCCUAGUGUAGCGGUGAAAUGCGUAGAUAUUAGGAGGAACACCAGUGGCGAAGGCGGCUUUCUGGACUGUAACUGACACUGAGGCACGAAAGCGUGGGGAGCAAACAGG